UGCCAGCAGCCGCGGUAAUACGUAGGCGGCGAACGUUACUCGGAAUCACUGGGCUUAAAGGGCGUGUAGGCGGCUUGUCAAGUUGGAGUUGAAAUCCGGCGGCUUAACCGUCGAACUGGCUUCAAUACUGAUGAGCUAGAGUUGCGGAGGGGGAUGCUGGAACUCGUGGUGGAGCGGUGGAAUGCGCAGAGAUCACGAGGAACACCUAUGGCGAAGGCAGGCAUCUGGCUGACAACUGACGCUGAGGCGCGAAAGCUAGGGUAGCGAACGGGAUUAGAUA
rnacentral:rRNA from 1 species